CUAAGUGAUGCAGCAGCAGGCUGGUGUAGCUCCGGGCUCCAGGAGGGGGACAGGGAGUGCACGGCUGCCACACGCCCGCUUCUCUCCACCGCAGCUCGUGCAGCCGUGCCAGUGUCAGGCGGCGCAAGAAUCAAACUUUUCUGUACAUUUUCACGUCACCUGGACGCGAAACAUAAAUCUGGCAUCCUAUGCAAAUAUAUGCUGACGUAAAAGAUCAUGUGGUUUUUGUCGUCGAUCCCCCCUAUGAGCAACGAGGAGGCUUUUUUUUCUCCUCUCUACUGUUGUCUUUAGGUUAGCUAUGCUACAAUCUUUACUGUACCCAGCGCUAGCUAUAUGCGCCCCGCACCGCACCACUCUGGAUAUCUGGGAAUAAUCAACUUCCAGCCUGUCGCACCCUGCAACCGGAGACCGCACACAGAUCCUGUGGGAGAUUACCCAGAGUGCCGCCGGCCCGAGGAUCAUCCAGAGAAGGAGGGAGGUAGAGGAGGACGGACAGCGUUUAGGAGGAGGAGGAGGAGCCUCGAGCGAGAAGACUCAGCCCCCUGCAGUGAAGCCCCUCCCCCUCAGAGGAAGUAAACUCCGCAGGCUCGACCUUGAGAUACUGAGCGAUACAAGAGUUUGGCCAACUCCGUGCACACCGCCGGCGCGAGGUAGAGAGCGGCGCUCCAAUCAUCCAGCCAAUCACCCGAAACCUAAAACUCUCUCAAGGUUCUCUGCCAAUGAAAAGUCAGCUUUGUUCUCAUCAGCACAUCGAAUUGCCUCACAAGAUCCAUGAGUCAUUAAGGUGCUCUCCACUUCAGAGUUAUCCAGUGCCGUUUGGCCGUGGUCUGCGGUUUCCAGCAUGGGGCGCUGGGGCCCACUAAGGGACCUUGUAGAGGGUCCUUGGCAAAAUGAAAUGUGCUGCUGCUUGUUGCUGCUUUUCUGCAGCUGCCAGGUAGCAGAAUUUUUAAUACUUAGUCGCUGCUUUUACUCCAUUGGCAUGUGGUUGUCAUGUUUAAAUCUACAGCAACCUCAUGAUCAGAUUAUAUUGCAACUGGUGUUUGUCAUUUUGUAUUAAAG
ensembl:lncRNA